AGUUGGUGGAGUGAUUUGUCUGGUUAAUUCCGUUAACGAACGAGACCUUAACCUGCUAAAUAGUUGCGCGAGCCUUCCAUACCGCCAGGAGGUGGGGUUCGCUUCACCUGCUGGUGGGAUGGCUCAGCGUGUAACUUCUUAGAGGGACUAUUCGUAUCUAGCGAAUGGAAGUUUGAGGCAAUAACAGG
rnacentral:rRNA from 1 species